UACCGGUUGAGUCACAAAGAGGAUAUGUGCCCCGGGGUAUAGAUGAGAGAGAAUUAGUAUCAGCAAUAGAUGAAGUUCAAACUCUUGCAAAUCGUGGCUUGGAAUUGGCUCGAGCAGGUAGAAAUCCCGAAGCACAUGAACAUGUAUCAAUAUAUCAGGCUAUAAUGCAGAGGCUUCACCAAGCCUUACACCAAACUCACGAAGAUCG